UACGGAGGGUGCAAGCGUUAUCCGGAUUUACUGGGUUUAAAGGGUGCGUAGGUGGGUAGGUAAGUCAGUGGUGAAAUCUUCAAGCUUAACUUGGAAACUGCCAUUGAUACUAUUUAUCUUGAAUACUUUUGGAGGUAAGCGGAAAUAUGUCAUGUAGCGGUGAAAUGCUUAGAUAUGACAUAGAACACCAAUUGCGAAGGCAGCUCGCUGGGAACGGUACUGACGCUGAGACGCGAAAGCGUGGGGAGCAAACAGG
rnacentral:rRNA from 1 species